ACGAAGCGUUUUGAGGAACAAGUCGCAGGGACUUGUCCCAAAAAUUUGAAUUCGUGGGACUAGUCGCAGGGACCAAAUUUUAGUCCCCGCGACAAGAUUUUGUGGCAAAGAUGGCUAGUUCACACGAUGGAACUUGUCCCCGCAACUUGUUGCAGGGACUAGUCGCAGGGACUAGUCCCUUCGUGUGUGCCGACCUUCAUGAUAAACAGAAUAGCGGAUGUU